ACUCCUACGGGAGGCAGCAGUGGGGAAUAUUGCACAAUGGGCGGAAGCCUGACGCAGCGACGCCGCGUGGGGAUGACGGCCUUCGGGUUGUAAACCUCUUUCGCCAGGGACGAAGCUUUUGUGACGGUACCUGGAGAAGAAGCACCGGCCAACUACGUGCCAGCAGCCGCGGUAACACGUAGGGUGCGAGCGUUGUCCGGAAUUAUUGGGCGUAAAGAGCUCGUAGGCGGUGUGUCGCGUCGGCCGUGAAAACUUGGGGCUUAACUCUGAGCGUGCGGUCGAUACGGGCAUCACUUGAGUUCGGCAGGGGAGACUGGAAUUCCUGGUGUAGCGGUGAAAUGCGCAGAUAUCAGGAGGAACACCGGUGGCGAAGGCGGGUCUCUGGGCCGAUACUGACGCUGAGGAGCGAAAGCAUGGGGAGCGAACAGGAUUAGAUACCCUGGUAGGAUAGCG
rnacentral:rRNA from 1 species